GAAGUGGAUCGUAGUUUGAGCAAAAAAAACAGAGUGACGCAAGGAAGAGGGAAACAAUAGAGAAGGAUUAGGGAGGUUUGAGUGUGGGAGAGAAGAGAAAUCGUGAGAAGAAAGGAAGAGAAAACGCGCGAGAGAAGGUAGAUCGAAAGUAGCAGAGUUGAACGGAGGACUGGGGUCUCUUGAAUUUUUCGACGAGUCCUCACCGGAAACUCGCUGGAUACAC
rnacentral:lncRNA from 1 species